UAGAGAAAGAAGUUGAGAAGAAGGGAAAUAUGGCUUCAGCGCUGUUUUAACACCAUCUCAGCAGCUCCUGAGUUGUGUCUGCACUAAUCUACUGUUUCUAUGGGGUGUUUUCUUCUUACUACCCAACUUGACCAAUGAGAAGUUCUGGAAUGCUGAUCUCACUAUGUGCUAGCUCAUGCGGGCCUUGAACUCACCGUGUAGCCCAGGAUGGCUUCAAACUCAUGAUACUCCUCCUGACUCAGCCUCCUCAGUGCUGAAGACACAGCACAGCGAGUUUCCCUGGAGUUCCACGAUUAACACUUCGGCGUCAUCAUGCAUUCAUACUGAUGGAAAAAGGUUUCUUCCAAGGCACGUUUAUUGAAAAUUCAGGAAGCUCCUAUUUAACAAAUGCAGCUCCUGCAUGGCCGCUGUUAUUAAAAGAACAGCUUGGACAUCGGUAAAGUUCAGCAUCUCCUUUAACAUUUCUGCGAAAGGAUCUCUUCACUCUUUGAAGAUGCGAAAUAGGAUGAGGUUUUAUAUGGUUCUGUCAAUCUUUCUGAUGCCCUUUUAAGUGAAUUAAUAAUUUCUGCUUAAUGGAAGUGCACUGUUAUGACUGCAGCCUCGGCACUGAGGUGAAAUCAGGUGGUUUGUACUACGUGCCAGAAAUGAAACAUUCUCUGCAGGAGUUUUUGUUGUAUGGAUUAAGAUGAGACAGGAUGCUCUGUGAGCCAAAAGGCUGGUCCAAUGUUAACAACAAACUGCUGAAGAUCAUUACAGCCCUGGGAAUGGUUUGGCAAUAGCAGAUGCCUCAGAAUUAGGCUUCUGAAUAUAUGACCAUUGGAUGGUCCUAGAAAAAGUUUCAUAAUAUUGCAGUGCUAUCUUAACCAUAAGUGCAAGAACUGUUGUAGUCUUUGGUCAUCAGAAGAAACCCUUAUGAAACUACCACGAAUGCAUACAUGUGUAGUCCCAGCUAAGGCUGAGGCAGGAGGACUGCCUUAGACCAAGAUUUCAAGUCAGCCUGGGGAACGUAGUGUGACUGUCUCCAAAACCUAACCAAAUAAAACAAAACUUAGU